CCCAUAUCUCCCUCCUCUAGAUCAAAUCUAAGAUAAAAGGAAGGUUUUAGACAGGAAAAAAAAGAUUAAGAUGGGUUCUUGAUCUUUUUUGGUGAUCAGGUUCAAUCCCCAGAAAUCUGCCAAUGGCUGCUUCAAGUAAUAUAAGAAAAAGGGUCCAAAUCCAAGUUGAAGAACAAAGCCUGCAAGGAUGCUAGCACAUCGGUGGCUUUGGAGUUCGGAUUGGGAUCACCUCUGUAUGGAUACC
rnacentral:lncRNA from 1 species